GACCCGUUUAAGCGAGGAAAUGUUUAUAUUUACAUUUCUUUUCCUUUUAUUUCUUUUUAUUUUCUUUUUAUUCCCGUUUUCUUCCUCGCUGAGACCCCCCGCGUGCCCGAGUGGUUCCCUUUCUUCUCCUUCUCGUUUCUUCUUAUUCUCUGCCGCCACUCCGACGCGGAGCUGAGCGAUCCUCCGGCAGCCACAUCUUCUUCCUUCUUCUUCCCCCGUCGCCGACUCCUAGCCCUAACCGGCGCCGACAAUUUCUUCUCCACUGCCCGCACCGGCGUCCUCUACGAUCUCCUCACGGCGCCACCUUUCCUCUGUGCCCUAGCCAGCCUCGGCCGACCAGCGACUUCUCCUCCCUUUCUCUGAUCCGACGAGCCACCGUCGACCGAAGUCUUCUUCCUCUUCCUCCCUGUCCAAGCGGCGGCGACGCACGGAGCACCGCCCUUUUCCCUGUGCCCUAGCGUCGGCUCGCCGCCAAGCCUAGCAUCUCCACCGACGUCGAGCAGUGCCGGCGACUCACCCCGUGCCCUAGCCGAGCCCUUGCUGUGGAGUUCACAGCCGCCAGCCACCGAGCACCUUCGAUUACUGCCAUCGUGCCCUAGCUACCCACCGGCGUCGCACGGAGCAGCGUCGCCUCUCGCUGUGCCGCCUCUCCGCUGUUCUUGAUCAUUCCUUCUUUGUGGUGAAGUUAGGUCACAGUUGGGUGGGGAAAAGAUUUUCCGUAGGGUUUGCUUUACUGUGGAUUUAUUCUAAUUCCAGCAGCAACUAUCUCUUGGCGUUGGAUCAGUGAUUACAGCUGUGGAAUUUAAGGACUUUGACGCGAGACGAGUAUCUCGGAGUCAGAUUGGACCUUUCUAUUUUCGGAGG